GGACGCAGGCUGAAACGACGUGCCGUCUCGAAUGCUCCUCGCCGUCUCCAAAACCGGAAAACCGCUUUGCCAGCGCCAACUGUAAUAUGAAAACCAAAGAUCAUUUUGAGAUCUGAAAUUCUAAACCCAGCAAAACUCUUUUCUGGCUCUCUAGUAAAAAAUUAAAAAAAAAAAAAACUAUUUUUUCUGGUUGAAAACUCCGUUGUUUUCCUGACGAAUCUCUCUCAAGCGUCCGCGCACAUUUAUCAAUCUCUCUUGAAUUGCCUCACCAUCCGACGCCUCCAACCAGGAGGCUGUUGUGAGGAAGCAAAACAAAGGAGCCCCGAUUAAGUUCUUGGUCCCUCUUAUAUACGCCCCUGUUCUUCCUCUCAUUCGGCUCUCGUUGAGGGAUCG